CACUGGUCAGUGAGUGUAUAUAACCACUGGAGGCAAAGGGGUGUCUGACCCAGUACUAGAUGGGUAUACCUAAUACACUGGUCAGUGAGUGUGUAUAUAACCAUUGUUUGUACCGUCAUGUUUUCGUAUUGCAUUCCUCACAAGUUCUCUGUUCAUAUUUGGGGCGGCAGGGCAGCCUAGUGGUUAGAGCGUUGGACUAGUAACCGAAAGGUUUCAAGUUCAAAUCCCCGAGCUGACAAGGUACAAGUCUGUUGUUCUGCCCCUGAACAGGCAGUCAUCCCAUUGUUCCUAGGCCGUCAUUGAAAAUAAGAAUUUGUUCUUAACUGACUUGCCUAGUUAAAUAAAGGUUAAAAAAUAUAUAUAUAACUUGUUUUUAUUUUCCUUAUGAUCAGUUGUGUCCGAUUCAGUUUAGACUUAGCUAGUCUUGCUGAAACUGACACUAUCAUCAUAGCACAUUCACGACCGUGUCCUGUCCCCCAGGUAUAAUGUAAUAUCCCUGACUCUGUCCUGUCUCCCAGGUAUAAUAUAAUAUCCCUGACUCUGUCCUGUCUCCCAGGUAUAAUGUAAUAUCCCUGACUCUGUCCUGUCUCCCAGGUAUAAUAUAAUAUCCCUGACUCUGUCCUGUCUCCCAGGUAUAAUAUAAUAUCCCUGACUCUGUCCUGUCUCCCAGGUAUAAUGUAAUAUCCCUGACUCUGUCCUGUCUCCCAGGUAUAAUAUAAUAUCCCUGACUCUGUCCUGUCUCCCAGGUAUA